CGUGCCAGCAGCCGCGGUAAUACGAAGGGACCUAGCGUAGUUCGGAAUUACUGGGCUUAAAGAGUUCGUAGGUGGUUAAAAAAGUUGGUGGUGAAAUCCCAGAGCUUAACUCUGGAACUGCCAUCAAAACUUUUUAGCUAGAGUAUGAUAGAGGAAAGCAGAAUUUCUAGUGUAGAGGUGAAAUUCGUAGAUAUUAGAAAGAAUACCAAUUGCGAAGGCAGCUUUCUGGAUCAUUACUGACACUGAGGAACGAAAGCAUGGGUAGCGAAGAGGAUUAGAUACCCUCGUAGUCCAUGCCGUAAACGAUGUGUGUUAGACGUUGGAAAUUUAUUUUCUGUGUCGCAGCGAAAGCAAUAAACACACCGCCUGGGGAGUACGACCGCAAGGUUAAAACUCAAAUGAAUUGACGGGGACCCGCACAAGUAGUGGAGCAUGUGGUUUAAUUCGAAGAUACGCGCAGAACCUUACCAACACUUGACAUGUUCGUCGCGACUUUAAGAGAUUAAAGUUUUCGGUUCGGCCGGACGAAACACAGGUGCUGCAUGGCUGUCGUCAGCUCGUGUCGUGAGAUGUUGGGUUAAGUCCCGCAACGAGCGCAACCCUCACUUUUAGUUGCCAUCAUUAAGUUGGGCACUCUGAAAGAACUGCCAGUGAUAAGCUGGAGGAAGGUGGGGAUGACGUCAAGUCCUCAUGGCCCUUACGUGUUGGGCUACACACGUGCUACAAUGGCAUUUACAAUAGGAAGCAAGACGGCGACGUUAAGCAAAUCCUAAAAAAAUGCCUCAGUUCGGAUUGUACUCUGCAACUCGAGUACAUGAAGCUGGAAUUACUAGUAAUCGCGGAUCAGCGCGCCGCGGUGAAUACGUUCCCGGGUCUUGUACACACCGCCCGUCACACCAUGGGAGUUGGUUCUACCUUAAGGCAAAGUUUAAUACCUUUGACCACGGUAUAGUCAG
rnacentral:rRNA from 1 species